rnacentral:siRNA from 1 species
UGGUUGCACUUGCUCAUCUACAAC